rnacentral:lncRNA from 13 species
AUGAGCUCACUAAACUACUCCUCCCUUACUAAUGAAGAGGGGGUCUGCUGUAUGGAGAAAGAAUCUUUCAGAAUGAAAAAGGAGGAAGAGGAGGCUGUUAUAGUGAAAGAAGAGAAAGAACCGUUUAGAGAGGAAGAUGAUGCUAUCUCAAUAAAGGUGAAGGAGGAAGACUUUUUGGGAGUGAAAGAGGAGGAGACAGAAUAUCAGAUUAACACCAGAGAGACACAUGACUAUCGUGGAUCCUCUGGGGAGCCUCAACAACAUCCUGAUGCUGACGAGGAAGAGAAGAGUCUCUCCAGAUCAGAACACCAGAUGGUACAGCUUGGUCUGGUCUAGCAUACAGCUUGGUCUGGUCUAGCAUACAGCUUUCUCUAUUGGGGUCUGGGCUGGGUUUCUGUAGAGCACUUCAUGACAACAGUGACAUCAGCAUCCAUAAUGAUGUGCGUCUGUGUCCCCUCUUUAUGGUUACCAGGACAACGCUAGCCCUUCCACCCUCUCGGAGUCCCCGUGUCAUGCCUCUCCUGUUAGCACCUUGCUGCUGGUGGACUGCAGGAAAACAAUGGGGCUGAGUGGAACUGUGGGAGGAGGAGAAGAGAGGAAAGGAUCAGAUUUGACUCAAAGUAAGUGCUGUAGUUUAGUUUGAACAAAUAAAUAGAUAUAUUCAUUGGUAUCUGUUACCACGACAACCAGCAGAGUUCUGUNNNNNNNNNNGAGAUAUUUCGUCAUUUAUUUUCCACUUUCAGUUUCACUUACUUAGCUAGCAAAUGCAGCUAUCUAGUUUAGUCUACUCAAACACUUGGCUCAAACAGAGGGAUGCUAUGUUAGCUAGCUGGCUAUGACUAUCCAACACAACACUGGAACUCUUCCAAGUCAAGGCAAGCUUUUGGUUUUACUAAUUUAUUGCCACUGGGACCCGCCAAGGUAAGUGCUAAACUGCUUACUGACUGUACACUGUAACGUUACUGCAUGAUUGUAGCAGGUUUANNNNNNNNNNCUAUGACUAUCCAACACAACACUGGAACUCUUCCAAGUCAAGGCAAGCUUUUGGUUUUACUAAUUUAUUGCCACUGGGACCCGCCAAGGUAAGUGCUAAACUGCUUACUGACUGUACACUGUAACGUUACUGCAUGAUUGUAGCAGGUUUACUCACGAGUUAGUUCUAUUAGCUCUGUUGACUAUGAUGUUAUUUUAGCUAAUAUGUUGACAACAAUGUAAGCUGUGUGUAGCAGUUAUGAA